rnacentral:rRNA from 1 species
CAGCCGCCGCGGUAAUACGUAGGGUGCGAGCGUUAAUCGGAAUUACUGGGCGUAAAGCGUGCGCAGGCGGUUUUGUAAGACAGAGGUGAAAUCCCCGGGCUCAACCUGGGAACUGCCUUUGUGACUGCAAGGCUAGAGUACGGCAGAGGGGGAUGGAAUUCCGCGUGUAGCAGUGAAAUGCGUAGAUAUGCGGAGGAACACCGAUGGCGAAGGCAAUCCCCUGGGCCUGUACUGACGCUCAUGCACGAAAGCGUGGGGAGCAAACAGGAUUAGAUACCCCGGUAGUCCCUGUCUCUUAUAC